UUAAGUUCCUUUCAAAUUUAGGAAUAUAUCUCACUUCAUCAAACACUUUUACUUGAUUACCAUGCAGCUUAAUCUUCACUCUUCCAAUACUUUCAACUUCCAUCUUGUUCCCAUUGGCUAGCUUCACUUUUUUUUCCUUUCUUUUCUUCAAUCACAUCAAAGCACUCCUCCUUUGAGCAAAUAUAGAAUGGACAAGCAGAAUCCAUUAUCCACUCAUCUUGUAAUGGAUCUUUUGCCUUUUCCUUGUCAUCAUCUAUAUACAAAUAUUCACCACCAUAAUCAAUUGUAAUUGUAGCAGUUCCUUCUUUUUCUCUUUCUUUUUCGUGACUCUUCUUGAAUUGUGUAAGCUCUGCAAAAUGUUCCUUUAUCCUUUUACAAUGGUAUUGAAUGUGGCCCU
rnacentral:misc_RNA from 1 species